GAGGGUAGAGCUCGGUGGUAAAGUGCCUGCCUAGCAGGCACAAGGUCCUGGGUUCAAUCCCCAGUACUGCCA
rnacentral:tRNA from 1 species